AUGGGCCCAAGAUCCCGCAGCAUCCAGGUGGAUGGCAAGACCAUCAAGGUGCAGAUCUGGGACACCGCCGGCCAGGAGCGCUACCGCGCCAUCACCUCCGCGUACUACCCUGGCGCUGUGGGCGCCUUGCUGGUGUACGACAUUGCCAAGCACCUGACCUAUGAGAAUGCGGAGCGCUGGCUGAAGGAGCUUCGGGACCAUGCAGACAGCAACAUCGUCAUCAUGCUGGUGGGCACAAGAGUGACCUGCGCCACCUGCGGGCUGUGCCCACCGACGAGGCCCAAGCCUUUGCAGAAAAGAACAACUUGUCCUUCAUCGAAACCUCUGCCUUGGAUUCCACCAACGUAGAGGAAGCCUUCAAGAACAUCCUCACAGAGAUCUACCGCAUCGUGUCACAGAGACAGAUAGCAGACCGCGCCACCCAUGACAAGUCCCCUGGGAACAACGUGGUGGACAUCAGCGUGCCACCCACAACGGAUGGACAGAAGCCCAACAAGAUGCAGUGCUGCCAGAACCUGUGACCCCUGCGCCUCCGUCUGCCUCUCCCAUGGUGUCCUCUGGCCCCUCCCUGCUUUCUCUCUGGCUGGCUCGCUCCUGCUUUCCCAGUGAGCUCUGCAUGGCUGGGCUGGGGCCCAGGAAGGACAGGAGCCAGUGCUACCCCCGUCCUGCCUGGGAAAAAGCUAGAAGCCCCGGUUUGCUGCACCCACCCAACUCGGGUACCCUCGGGCGUCUUGGCCGGGUGGGGAUGGUGGCAGGAUGGACAGGGCUGGCCAGAGAUGAGGAGGAUGGGCGC